rnacentral:lncRNA from 1 species
AUCUUAUUUUAUUUCCGUGAUCAAUUUUUGCUCAUCACAUGAAAAGACAAAACGUAUAUUAAGUCUAUGAAAAUAAAAUAAAAUUAAAACCACCAAGGUGGUCAUUUUUAUUAAUCCAAAAAAAAAAAAAAACCAAAGACAAGGGUGAUGAAGCAAAUCUUAUUUUAUUUAUGUGAUCAUCCUUUCUCUUUUCUUGCAUGAUUCGUUCAUAUAUAAUAAAAUAACGAAUCCUUCAAAGUAACAAUAUAUAGCAUGGUGGCUAAAAUCUCUCUGUAAUCUGAAUUCUCUAAGUUAUAACCCUAAUAGUCAAGUUUUAAGGGCUUGAUCAAGACUGUUAUGUUCGAGAUAAAGAGAAUUGGUGGGAACCGCAGAAAAGGGCAGCCACUCAACUAAAAUGGUUUUUCAAAAGAUGAACCUAAUCAUAUGCUUGUUGGAAUAAAUUAUUGGGUUGGAACAUUCAUGAGAGGUGUUAAUCAGUUCAUCAGCCAAUUUUACCUAAGCCUUACUGAUUAUCUAAAAAUAAAACCAUUACGGGUAGGAAAUAUUUUGAUUUUGAAUAUUUUGUGUGGGAAAUAAAAUGGCGGCUAAAAAAUUAGUAGCAGAGAAAAGAACAUUCUGCAUCCUAUGAAAGGUUUUACAUUUGGAAAAACAAGGAAAUCAUUC